rnacentral:tRNA from 1 species
GGUCGCUUAGCUCAGUUGGUUAGAGCGUGGUGCUAAUACUGGCAGUCCUCCCAGAGGACUAGACGAUAACGCCAAGGUCGCGAGUUCGACCCUCGUAGUGACCA